rnacentral:rRNA from 1 species
GGGUUGUGAGGUUAAGCGACUAAGCGUACACGGUGGAUGCCCUGGCAGUCAGAGGCGAUGAAGGACGUGCUAAUCUGCGAAAAGCGUCGGUAAGGUGAUAUGAACCGUUACAGCCGGCGAUGUCCGAAUGGGGAAACCCAGUGUGAUUCGUCACACUAUCGUUAACUGAAUACAUAGGUUAACGAGGCGAACCGGGGGAACUGAAACAUCUAAGUACCCCGAGGAAAAGAAAUCAACCGAGAUUCCCCCAGUAGCGGCGAGCGAACGGGGAGCAGCCCAGAGUCUGAAUCAGCUUGUGUGUUAGUGGAACGGUCUGGAAAGUCCGACGGUACAGGGUGAUAGUCCCGUACACCAAAAUGCACAGGUUGUGAACUCGAAGAGUAGGGCGGGACACGUGGUAUCCUGUCUGAAUAUGGGGGGACCAUCCUCCAAGGCUAAAUACUCCUGACUGACCGAUAGUGAACCAGUACCGUGAGGGAAAGGCGAAAAGAACCCCGGCGAGGGGAGUGAAAAAGAACCUGAAACCGUGUACGUACAAGCAGUGGGAGCACCUUCGGGUGUGACUGCGUACCUUUUGUAUAAUGGGUCAGCGACUUAUAUUCUGUAGCAAGGUUAACCGUAUAGGGGAGCCGCAGGGAAACCGAGUCUUAACUGGGCGUUAAGUUGCAGGGUAUAGACCCGAAACCCGGUGAUCUAGCCAUGGGCAGGUUGAAGGUUGGGUAACACUAACUGGAGGACCGAACCGACUAAUGUUGAAAAAUUAGCGGAUGACUUGUGGCUGGGGGUGAAAGGCCAAUCAAACCGGGAGAUAGCUGGUUCUCCCCGAAAGCUAUUUAGGUAGCGCCUCGUGAAUUCAUCUUCGGGGGUAGAGCACUGUUUCGGCUAGGGGGUCAUCCCGACUUACCAACCCGAUGCAAACUACGAAUACCGAAGAAUGUUAUCACGGGAGACACACGGCGGGUGCUAACGUCCGUCGUGAAGAGGGAAACAACCCAGACCGCCAGCUAAGGUCCCAAAGUCACAGUUAAGUGGGAAACGAUGUGGGAAGGCACAGACAGCCAGGAUGUUGGCUUAGAAGCAGCCAUCAUUUAAAGAAAGCGUAAUAGCUCACUGGUCGAGUCGGCCUGCGCGGAAGAUGUAACGGGGCUAAACUGUGCACCGAAGCUGCGGCAGCGACACUAUGUGUUGUUGGGUAGGGGAGCGUUCUGUAAGCCUGCGAAGGUGGCCUGUGAGGGUUGCUGGAGGUAUCAGAAGUGCGAAUGCUGACAUAAGUAACGAUAAUGCGGGUGAAAAGCCCGCACGCCGGAAGACCAAGGGUUCCUGUCCAACGUUAAUCGGGGCAGGGUGAGUCGACCCCUAAGGCGAGGCCGAAAGGCGUAGUCGAUGGGAAACAGGUUAAUAUUCCUGUACUUGGUGUUACUGCGAAGGGGGGACGGAGAAGGCUAUGUUAGCCGGGCGACGGUUGUCCCGGUUUAAGCAUGUAGGCGGAGGUUCCAGGUAAAUCCGGUACCUUUUAACGCUGAGGUGUGAUGACGAGGCACUACGGUGCUGAAGUAACAAAUGCCCUGCUUCCAGGAAAAGCCUCUAAGCAUCAGGUAACAUUAAAUCGUACCCCAAACCGACACAGGUGGUCAGGUAGAGAAUACCAAGGCGCUUGAGAGAACUCGGGUGAAGGAACUAGGCAAAAUGGUGCCGUAACUUCGGGAGAAGGCACGCUGAUAUGUAGGUGAAGCCCCUGCGGGUGGAGCUGAAAUCAGUCGAAGAUACCAGCUGGCUGCAACUGUUUAUUAAAAACACAGCACUGUGCAAACACGAAAGUGGACGUAUACGGUGUGACGCCUGCCCGGUGCCGGAAGGUUAAUUGAUGGGGUUAUCCGUAAGGAGAAGCUCUUGAUCGAAGCCCCGGUAAACGGCGGCCGUAACUAUAACGGUCCUAAGGUAGCGAAAUUCCUUGUCGGGUAAGUUCCGACCUGCACGAAUGGCGUAAUGAUGGCCAGGCUGUCUCCACCCGAGACUCAGUGAAAUUGAACUCGCUGUGAAGAUGCAGUGUACCCGCGGCAAGACGGAAAGACCCCGUGAACCUUUACUAUAGCUUGACACUGAACAUUGAGCCUUGAUGUGUAGGAUAGGUGGGAGGCUUUGAAGCGUGGACGCCAGUCUGCGUGGAGCCAACCUUGAAAUACCACCCUUUAAUGUUUGAUGUUCUAACGUUGGCCCCUGACCGGGGUUGCGGACAGUGUCUGGUGGGUAGUUUGACUGGGGCGGUCUCCUCCCAAAGAGUAACGGAGGAGCACGAAGGUUAGCUAAUCCUGGUCGGACAUCAGGAGGUUAGUGCAAUGGCAUAAGCUAGCUUGACUGCGAGCGUGACGGCGCGAGCAGGUGCGAAAGCAGGUCAUAGUGAUCCGGUGGUUCUGAAUGGAAGGGCCAUCGCUCAACGGAUAAAAGGUACUCCGGGGAUAACAGGCUGAUACCGCCCAAGAGUUCAUAUCGACGGCGGUGUUUGGCACCUCGAUGUCGGCUCAUCACAUCCUGGGGCUGAAGUAGGUCCCAAGGGUAUGGCUGUUCGCCAUUUAAAGUGGUACGCGAGCUGGGUUUAGAACGUCGUGAGACAGUUCGGUCCCUAUCUGCCGUGGGCGCUGGAGAAUUGAGGGGGGCUGCUCCUAGUACGAGAGGACCGGAGUGGACGCAUCACUGGUGUUCGGGUUGUCAUGCCAAUGGCAUUGCCCGGUAGCUAAAUGCGGAAGAGAUAAGUGCUGAAAGCAUCUAAGCACGAAACUUGCCCCGAGAUGAGUUCUCCCUGAGACUUUAAGUCUCCUGAAGGAACGUUAAAGACGAUGACGUUGAUAGGUCGGGUGUGUAAGCGUAGCGAUACGUUGAGCUAACCGAUACUAAUGAACCGUGAGGCUUAACCUUACAACGCCGAAG